rnacentral:rRNA from 1 species
UGGUCGAACAGACCAAGAAAAUUGAAAUGAUGACACCCAAAUCUUAUCUUAAUUCAACAUCGAGGUCGCAAACUUAUUCAUCGAUAUGAACUCUCCGAAAAAAUUACGCUGUUAUCCCUAAGGUAAGUUAAUCAUAUAAUCAAAAAUUUGGGGAUCAAAAAAACAUAAAUUAAUGAAAAAAAAAUUAAAAGUUAAAUAAAUUUUAAUGUCACCCCAACAAAACUUUAUAUUCUAAAAAAUUAUUAAAUAAACAAAAAAUAAUAAUUAAUAAAUAAAGUAAACUUCUAUAGGGUCUUCUCGUCCUAUAAAAAAAUUUUAGCUUUUUAACUAAAAAAUUAAAUUCAAAAAUAAAAAAAGAAAGUUUAUUUUUCAUCAAACCAUUCAUACUAGCCUUCAAUUAAAAGACAAAUGAUUAUGCUACCUUCGUACAGUUAAAAUACCGCAGCCUUUUAAUUCAUAAAAAUCAAUGGGCAGGUCAGAUCUU